rnacentral:lncRNA from 1 species
GUCCUCCUCAACUAAGCUCCGGUUGCCAUGGCGACGGAGAGGCCUGCAGGGGCCUGGUCGGGGCUACACAGGCACUGCUUCUGCUCUUCCCCUUGGCCGUCCUGAGGGGACACAGUAGGAGCCAAGGAGGAGUAAAUUGUCACAUCAGAGUGAGGAACGUAAUGGAACAGGGAUGGUGUUGGCUGAUCCUGAAGAGAUCCUGAUCCAGCCUUGUAUGGAUAUGUCAGCUGAAGUAGUAGGGAUCAGAAAGGUCUAUGUGCUACACACAUAAGAGAACAGAGCAGUACCCUCCAAGGACCCUCAGUGGCAAGGACCAGAGAAGAAGAAAGGGAUAUGUGCACAGAGGAGGAAGAACAAGGUUGAUGCUGCAUGGAUAUUUUGUUGAUAGACUUCCUUGUGAGCUCAGGAUAAGAAGACACUGGAGUUAAAACAUUGAAGAGAGGUGGAUUUACCCCAAAGAUACAGACGUAGUAAAGA